rnacentral:lncRNA from 1 species
GGAGGCAUUCUGGCGGACGCAUGCGUGUAGGAAGGCCGACGACUACAUAAGCUAAAAGACUUGGCUUGGAUUCGUCCCGAACCAAGGAGGUAUUCUGGCGGACGCAUGCGUGUAGGAAGGCCGACGGCUACAUAAGCUAAAAGACUACAACUACAAGACAGGCCGGAAGCGACUCGCUUCUAUUCUCGUUGGGAUUGGAUAAAGAUGGGAAAUCUAUAGAUCGUAGUAGUUCGCCAACCUCUCUAACUAACAUACGAUACAAUUUCACUUCACGGCACGGCCAAAAAAAGGAAAGAGGUUCGCUCGGUUGGCCUUCCUACGAUGACGAAUGCCUCUUUUCUCUUCUCUGAAGUCUACAACAAACAAGUGGGAGAGGCAGGAUUCGAACCUACGUAGAAAAACUUCAACAGUUUACAGUCUGCCACUUUUGACCACUCGGUCACUCUGCCCUUCCCGGGCCGAGGCCCCCCCAAUGGGUUCUAAUUCUAAGAAGGGGUGCAGUGCCCUGAAUCAAUCAAAAAGCUUAUUGAUUUAAUUGAAGGGAACUAAGACGAUUAGCUUAGCUAGCGUUCCGGGAGAAUCUAGUCAUUUAGUCAGUUCAUAACUAUCUCUGUAAAGCAAGGGGUAAAGCUUCUACGAAAGCUUCCCCCUCAUGUAGUCGUCGGCCUUCCCCAGCCCCCCCUCGUCGCUUCUGGCGAAGCUGCGAGUUCAUGAGCAAGUGAAUGAAGGAGCCAUGUUCCUAAAAGAAAAUGACCCUCUUUGUUUUCUUUUCUUCCCCUAUCCCUUCAAAGCCCUUGUAUAGGUUGGGCGCUAGCGCUUUACUAAUAUAAUAAAAAGUCAGGCUCUUCUGCUGAGCGAAGCAUCGGGAGAAUCUAGUAAUUUAGUCAGUUCAUAACUAUCUCUAUAAAGCAAGGGGUAAAGCUUCUAUGAAAGCUUCCCCCUCAUGUAGUCGUCGGCCUUCCCCAGCCCCCCCCCCCCUCGUCGCUUCUGGCGAAGCUGCGAGUUCAUGAGCAAGUGAAUGAAAGAGCCAUGUUCCUAAAAGAAAAUGACUCUCUUUGUUUUCUUCCCCCUUCGUCGCUUCUGGCGAAGCUGCAAGUUCAUGAGCAAGUGAAUGAAGGAGCCAUGUUCCUAAAAGAAAAUGACUCUCUUUGUUUUCUUUUCUUCCCUUAUCCCUUCAAAGCCCUUGUAUAGGUUGGGUGCUAGCGCUUUACUAAAAUAAUAAAAAGUCAGGCUCUUCUGCUGAGCGAAGCUGCGAGCCUACUUAAAUAUAGCUUACGCAUACCAAGCCUAAUCUACAAAAAUAACUGCAAGCAAAGCAAGCUUUCCCCCUUCGUUUGUUGUGGGUCGCGCCUCACCGCAGGCACUGAAUGAAUGAAAUGAGUGGAGAUCCUCCUUCCCCCUUGCUAAUUACCAAGAACUUCGUUGCCACUAGUAAAUUAGACCAUCCCCCCAAAAAAGAACUCGGAGCCUAAAGAGAAGAGAGUUCAGUCUUGCUAAAGAACUUCGUUGCCACUAGUAAAUUAGACCAUCCCCCCAAAAAAGAACAAGAGAAGAGAGUUCAGUCUACAAGAAGCUGGCAGAGCUUUAGCCAUUGAGCUACAUCCAUCUAUCCCAAACAGUAACCCUUUCCUUGUUCGUUCUUCGAAUAACGCUAGUGGAGACUAAUUCCUUCAGGCUAAUGAAGAUACUACUCUAGUCUUUCCAGUGGAUCCUUCUUAUCCCUAAGAAUGGAACGAACCAAGUUAACCUAUACGAGAGUGAGGAAUAAAAACCAACAAUCAACUUACCGCUUUUGAUGUCCCACGAUUCUGCUAGUUUAGAAACAAAGGAGAAGGACAGGGGUCGCUAGGUCAGAAAAGCGAUAACUAAAAAAUCUCCCCAAGUAGGAUUCGAACCUUGCUUUUGAUGUUCCCCGAUUCUGCUAGUUUAGAAACAAAAGAGAAGGACAGGGGUCGCUAGGUCAGAAAAGCGAUAACUAAACCGCAAGUAGGAUUCGAACCUACGACCAAUCGGUUAACAGCCGACCGCUCUACUACUGAGCUACUGAAGAACAACGGACUUAAUGUUGGAAGCCAACUCUCGUUCUUUGGACCAACCUAUGACCGAAUAAAAAUGAGUUCGUCACUCUUUUUCACAUACACCGGGAGAAAAGGUUACGAUAGCAAGCCCCUCCCCUGCGGGAGAGCCUCCAGGUCCUGGAGGCGGCGAUCAACCAUCCAAUCUCGAGAUUCAUAUUGAUCAAUAGAUCUUCGCGUCUUGCCAGUUCGCUAAGUAGACUCACUCUACCGAGGGGCAACAAAGGCUGGAACUCUUCCUGCCAAAAACAAGGGACCUACUUCUCAUCCUAGGAGUUAGCAGGUAUGAAAGAGUCCCCUCUCUGUCUGUCUCUCCGAGUUUCUACUACUAAGUAGCACUUCUGCUAUUCAAUCAUAGAAUCGAUUCCGAUCAAGCUGAAAAAAGUCAGCCCUAUAUAUGUUAUUAGUAAAGCGCUAACGCCCUAUCUAUAGUAAGGGGGCCUUUCUUGCUCGUUAGCGCUGUUUUUUGAUUGCAGCUAGGGCGCCCCUUUUCUU